GACGAACCGUGCGAACGUUGUUCGGAUUCACUGGGCUUAAAGGGCGCGUAGGCGGGUGCUCAAGUCAGGGGUGAAAUCCUCCCGCUUAACGGGAGAACAGCCUUUGAUACUGGGUGUCUCGAGGGAGGUAGGGGCAGGUGGAACUUCCGGUGGAGCGGUGAAAUGCGUAGAUAUCCUGAGGAACGCCGGUGGCGAAAGCGGCGUGCUGGACACCUUCUGACGCUGAGGCGCGAAAGCCAGGGGAGCGAACGGG
rnacentral:rRNA from 1 species